rnacentral:rRNA from 1 species
CCCUUAGAUGAUUUGGGCUGCACGCGCGCUACACUGACCCUAACAAUGAGCAACUGUCUGGCCUGAGAUGGCUGGGUAGCCUUUUCAACCCAUGUCAUGAUUGGGCUAGAUUUUUGUAAGUCUUGAUCUCUAACGAGGAAUCCCUAGUAUGCGUGAAUCAUCAAUCCAUGCAGAUUAUGUCCCUGCCCUUUGUACACACCACCCGUCGCUCCUACUGAUUGGGUGAUCCGGUGAGCUGUUCGGCCAUAGCAAUGUUUCUUGAGCAGGGCAAUGAAUGUUUCGCAAACCUUGCCACUUAGAGGAAGGAGAAGUCGUAACA